rnacentral:rRNA from 1 species
GCUUGUCUCAAAGAUUAAGCCAUGCAUGUCUAAGUAUAAACUGCUUAUACUGUGAAACUGCGAAUGGCUCAUUAAAUCAGUUAUAGUUUAUUUGAUGGUACCUACUACUCGGAUAACCGUAGUAAUUCUAGAGCUAAUACGUGCGCACAACCCGACUUCUGGAAGGGUCGUAUUUAUUAGAUAAAAGGCCAGCCGGGCUUUGCCCGACCUGCGGUGAAUCAUGAUAACUUCACGAAUCGUAUGGCCUUGUGCCGACGAUGUUUCAUUCAAAUUUCUGCCCUAUCAACUGUCGACUGUGAUAUAGACGCUCACAGUGGUUUUGACGGGUAACGGGGAAUCAGGGUUCGAUUCCGGAGAGGGAGCCUUAAAAACGGCUACCACAUCCAAGGAAGGCAGCAGG